rnacentral:misc_RNA from 1 species
AACGCACAUUGCGCCCUCUGGUAUUCCGGGGGGCAUGCCUGUUCGAGCGUCAUUACAACCCUCAAGCUUCGCUUGGUAUUGGGUGUUACCACCUGUGGUACACCUCAAAAUCAUCGGCGGUGCCAUCUGGCUUCUAGUGUAGUAAUACUUCUCGCUAUGGAGUUUGGGUGAGCGCUUGCCAUCAACCCCUAAUUUUCAAAGGUUGACCUCGGAUCAGGUAGGGAUACCCGCUGAACUUAA